rnacentral:rRNA from 1 species
CGGAGGGUGCAAGCGUUAUCCGGAUUCACUGGGUUUAAAGGGAGCGCAGGCGGACCUGUAAGUCAGUGGUGAAAUACCUGAGCUUAACUCGGGAACUGCCAUUGAUACUAUCGGUCUUGAAUGUUGUUGAGGUUUGCGGAAUGGGUCAUGUAGCGGUGAAAUGCAUAGAUAUGACCCGGAACACCUAUUGCGAAGGCAGCAGGCUAAACAAAUAUUGACGCUGAGGCUCGAGAGCGUGGGGAUCAAACAGGAUUAGAUACCCUGGUAGUCCACGCCCUAAACGAUGAUUACUCGACAUACGCGAUACACUGUGUGUGUCUGAGCGAAAGCAUUAAGUAAUCCACCUGGGAAGUACGACCGCAAGGUUG